rnacentral:lncRNA from 1 species
AUAUUGAAGUUAUUUUUGGAUAGAUUUAGCGGAGCGUUGAUGAAUUGGUAAAGAAAAAGCUAAAUGGAGUAUUGAACUGGCAGGACUGAGGUAAGUAUCUUGCCUAACCUUGUGUGGGGGACUUUCCUUUAGGAAUUGAGUCUUCUAUGCUUAUUAUAGUCCAUGCAUGCAAGGUGAUGAGUGUGUGCUCAGACUUAUUUGUGAAAAAAAUUUCUCUAGGAUUCUGAGGUCCUUAUGUGGAGAGUAUCGCGUUAUGAUUGGGUUUUCUAACUGCUUAAAUUGCCUUUAUAUGCUCCAUAUGAUGUUGUCAGCUUUCCUCUAAUUCUUACGUGUUACAUUGACCUUUAAUUGCCUUAAUUGAAGUGAUUGUCUUCCUCACUAUUUUGUUACUUCUUGAUUGUAAGUUCUUAUAUGACUUUGUGCAAAUAUGUUAAAUGUCCAAUCGAUGUGUUCACCGGUGUAGUUAUCACGUUCUUAUUAUGAUUUGUUAUUUUGUUGAGGUUAUCGUACUUCUUGGUUUUUCUGUGACCCUUAUUAUGUACUUGUUGAUUCCCUUGCUGGGACGCUAUUUCUUAUGAUAUUGUUUUCUUUGUUGGGAUAUUUUCGUUAUACUAUUGUUCCCCUGUCGGGAUAUUAUUGUUUAUGAUAUUUUGUCCCUUGCCGGAAUAUUUUUUUUAUACUAUUGUUCCAUUGUUGGGAUGUUGUUGUUUACGAUCUUGUCUCCCUUUUGGGGAUGUUAUUGUUAUACUCUUCUUCCCUUUCCGGAAUUCUUUUAUGAUUGAUGUUGAAUUGUAAAUGGGAUCAAGUGGCACGCCAACAACAAGAUAUUUAAAACGGGAGUGGGUUGCAUGCCUGCUACAAGAUAUAUAAAAUGGGAGUGAGUUGUAUGCCUGCAACAAGAUAUAUAAAAUAGGAUCGGGUUGCACGCCUGCAACAAGAUAUAUGAAAUUGGAGCGGGUUGCACACCUGCAACAAGAUAUAUGAAAUGGGAUCGGGUUGUACGCCUGCAACAACAUAUAUGAAAUGGGAUCAAAUUGCACGCCUAAAAUAAGAUAUAUGAACUGGGAUGGGGUGGCAUGCCGCCAAAGUGAUAUAUGAGAUGGCAUCGGGUGGCAUACCUGCAACAAGAAAGAAUAAAGCGAAAAUUGAUUCUUACGGUGAGAACAAGAGUAAAAGUACAAAGCGUGAUGUCGUGCACCUUCUGUUUGCUAUGCUUAUUUAUUGUCACCGUUGUGAUCCUUCGUGAACGAACCACUGGUGAACAUUUGAGUAGAUUUUUGAACCUUUCGUCCCCCUAGAAACUUAUUUCAACAAUAUUUAUUUUUGAAACAAUAUAUUUGAGUAGAUUAUUACAAUUCAGUGACUUUCAGACCCAGAGAAGAAGGAUGAAGACCAACAAGUACUGCUGAACAUUCAACAAAUUCGAAGGACCUUUUUUGACCUUUUACGUUGUAAAAGAAAACUUUGGGGCACUAUAAACGCAAAGCUACUUCGUGUUUAUUUACUUAUUUUAUCAUUAUAUUAGCUAAACUCAAUGCUACUGUGUUUUUGUUCUUAUUUUAUCAUUAUAUUAGCAUUUUAUGGUGUAAUGUUAAGAGUGUGUUAUUGAAUAUAUAUGAGGCAACACUAGCUUGUGCAUAGAAAUUCCGUGGAAGUUCAAAAAUCUACUCAAAGUGUUUUAACUAUUCAGAUUCCUUUACCGUUGUGAUCCUUUGUGAACGAACCCCAUCAUGUUUUCAAUACUUCACCGUAUUUAUACACAUAUUUUUCAAUACUUUGAAAUUUCAGUAACUGUUUCAUCUUCAAUUCAUUUAGUUACUCAAUUAAAUUUUCUUAAACCAUCUGAGGUUGUAUUUUACUUAAAAAUAAAAUUUCUACUAAGUUAAUUUAUUAAAUUCCUUGUAAUAAUUCAUUCGAUAUUAUAUUUAGUUGAAAAUGGUACUUUCUCUAUUCAAAUUAUUUCUAAAAAUAACUUCAUCUUUUCUUGAUGAGUUCCUAAUUAGUUAAGAAAUUGUAUUCUACUUUAUGUUAUGUAAACUAGACUCCUUGAACAUCUUAAUUGCAUUAGUUAUGGACCCUCUGAACUAAGUAAUAUGACAAUGUUGUUGUGUAUAGUGAGAUUGAAAUAUGUGGGUACAAGGUGCCGGGUUAUGUCAAAAGUUUGGUAAUUGAGGUAAUGAUAUGAGACCCUCGAGUUUGAAAUAACUGAAAUGCAUCAAAAAUGAUAUGAUUUACAGAGUUGACACCGCCUUCCUUGUUUGAGUACAUUUUUACUUGUCUAUGUUCCAGCUAUAUUCGUGUUAAUUUAUUUGGUUAUCUUUUGUUUCCACCUGUAUUUAUCUUUAUUGUUUCUACUGAUUGUAGUUUGUUCUUUCCCUGCUGUUGAUAUUUGUGACGACCCCGCCGGUCGUCUUAAGAAUUAAUUCCUCGAUACCAUAUUAAGUUCUUUCCAAAAGUUUAUUCUGCUUGUUUUAUUUGUUGGAACGUUUGGUUUUGAGUUUCGGAAAGUUUUUGGGACACAUAGUCCAUAAUUGAGAGCUUAACUUUUGGAAGUUGUCCCUAGUCUGAACGGUGUGAAGACAGCCUCAAAAUAGAAAUUUGAUGGUUCUGUUAGCUUUGUUAGGUUAUUUCGAAGCUGGGAGUGUAUUCAGAAUAUAUUUUGGAGGUCCGUAGCCAAUUUAGGCUUGAAAUGCCUAAGUUUGAAUUUUUAAAGUUUCCGGUUGAUAGGUGAGAUUUUCAUCUGAGGGUCAAAAUGGAUAUCCAGAAGUUGCAGUAGUUCCAUCAUAUCGUUUGGGAUGUGUGUGCAAAAUUUCUGGUCAUUCGGACGUGUUUUGGUUAGGUUUUUUAUCGAAACCGUGUUCUGUGAGAAUUUGAAGUUCUUAGGCUUGAAUCAUUGGUUAAAUUGUGUUUCCGAAAUUGUUUUAGAUUGUUUAAAGAUUGGUACAAGUUUGAAUAGUGUUAUGGGAUAUGCCCGUAGGUUUUUUUAGGUCCCGGGGGCGUGGGCAUUUUGGAGUUGGGAAAAGUUGCAGAAAUCCUUCAGCAGUUGCAGGUCCAAUUCCUUCUUCGUGUUCGCGUCGCUCCUAUCAUGUUCGCGAAGCUCUGAUCUUUCCUUUCUCACAUUGGCGUUCUCCUCCAUGCGUUCACAUAGAAUAAUCCUGGAGGGACACCGGUUUCUUCAUCGCGUUCGCGAUGUUCCACCUUUUCCUCCAUCGCAUUCGCGUUCACCUUGUCGCGUUCGCGUAGCCCUGUCAGCUCAGGCCCUCGCAUUUGCGUACUGCAUCUUGCGAUCGCAAAGAGCAUUUUUGGCAACUUCUACUUUUUCUUCUUCGCAAACGCGAGCUUUCUUCCGCGUUCGCAAUGCAUUAGAGGCCUGGGCAGAUAUAAACCCGUCAAAUCUGAGGGUUAGCCAUUUUUAUCAAAAUACAAGCUUGGGAGCUCAGAUUUGGGAGACAUUUCGAGGGAUUUUCUAGAGCAACUACUGGGUAACGAUUCUCUACUCUCUUAUGCUUAAAACCCACUAAUCUAAUGAUGAAUUCCCACUAAAUUUUUGGAUUUUUGAAUGAAAAAUGGGUAGAACUUCAUAGACCAAUUUGUUGAGUUUUGAGUGGGUGUUUGACCAUCGAUUUGAGAGAUUUUAUAUAGUUAGACCAUUGAGAGCAUGAGAGUUCUUAAAAUGUGAAAAUUUUUUGAUUCCAAGAUGUUGGUCUAGGGGGCAUUUUGGUUAUUUAACCUCAUUCGGCGCCUUAACUUUGAAUUAAAUAGUAAAAUCAGUUGCUUGAGAUGUUAUUUAUGAUAUGUAAUUGAAUUGAAUAGAUUUGGGCCAUUUGGAGUCGGAUACUCGUGGCAAAAGUGUGAUUUCGUGUUGUUUUUGGAGUCGGUUCGAGGUAAGUGACGUGUCUAACCUUGUGUGAGGGACUUUCCCCUUAGGAUAUGAUGUUUGGUGAUUGAAUUCCCUGUACGCAAGGUGACGAGUGCGUACUUGAGCAAAUUGUUGAAAAAAAUCCGGUUUUACUUAAAUAUUGAGAUUGAGUUUCUUUCUUACCCGCUUUAUUUUAUUUGCAAAUUUUAGGCUGUGUUAGUUUAGAAAAACAUGCUUAGUUGAUCUAAAUUGCCUAGUUUCUUAAGUUGGUUUGUUUGUACUACGUGAAGCAUAUUAGGAUAGAACUACUUGUUGCCCCACAUUUCUUGAAGUUCAUUGCUGAAUAUCUCUUGUUGUGACUGCGUAUUUACAUUGGGACUAUAGAUGUGGGAUUAAGGUAGCUCCUGUCCCCCCCCCCCCCCCCNNNNNNNNNNNNCCCCCCCUCCCUAUUUGCUUACUUUGGGACUACGGGUUAGAUUCCUGGUAGAUCCCCCUGCACAUUUACUUUGGGACAACGGGUUAGAUUCCUGGUAGCUCCUCCUGCACAUUUACUUUGGGACUGCAGGUUCGAGUCCUGAUAGAUCCCCCUGCACAUUUAUUUUAGGACUGCGAGUUUGAUUCCUCAUAGAUCCCCCUACACAAUGAUAGUUGGACUACAGGACGUUAUUCUGGGAGAUCCUCAGACAAUUAAUGAAAUAGACUACAUGACGUUAUCCUGGGAGAUGCUUGUUGUUGGAAUUGAUACUGAGUUGUUUACUCAUUGUUACCUUAUCUACUGUGUAUUAUUUGUUGCCUUGUAUAACCUGUCUUACUUCAUAGUUGUACUCAUUAUUUCUGUUAUUUCAUAUUAUUGCAAGAUUUUUAUUACUAUGUUUAUUCUCAGUAGGGACCUAACCUUCAUCGUCGCUUCCCGACCGAGGUUAGGCUUCGCACUUUCUGAGUACCUCUAUGGUGUACUCAUGUCCCUUCUGCCCAUGUUUUUCAUGUGCAGAUCUAGGUACCUCCACCAAGGCGUAUUAUCCUUGAGACAAGGAGAGCUAUAGAGACUUCGAGGAACAUCUGCCGCGUCCGCAAACCAAAACGCCUCGUUUACUCUAUCUUGUAGUGUUUAGCCUUCUAUCGUACUUUUUUUCUAGACAUUCUAGAGAUUAGAGCACUUACUAUAUUUUUCUAGCUUGUGUUCCCGUGAGUUUCUG